GGUGGUUCUCAGGUGAUGCACCCUGGAAUUGGGCUCCCUCCUCUCUGCUUCUGAAUUGGGCUCUCUCCUCUCUGCUUCCUGGUGCAUCACCCGAGAACCACA
rfam:Myotis brandtii contig162147, whole genome shotgun sequence.